CAUACUCGUCUCCAGGGAAGAACAAAUUAUUUAAUACAUAGUUUAAUAUGUUACUGUUUUCUAGCAUUAUGCCUCUGUUUUCCGGCAACCUGAUUUCAAGGUGGGGUUAAAGGAAGGAAACAGUGCAAACUAGCUCUCCCAACUUCAGAGGAAGGCACAUUGUUUCAUUACUCUAAAGCCUAGAAAGCUGGAAGUUGGUAGUUAUGUUUCCUGCUUCCCUGGCACUAUCCCAACAGGUGUCACAAACCUCCUUAGAUGUGGUAGUGAAGAGAGCAUCACCCACUCAUUUACUCAGGGGAGUGUUACAGAGGUAGCAAAAUGAGAGCAUGCAAGCUUAAAAAUGAGAGACAGGAAUAACAGAGGAUAAACACCAUAUUUAUUGCCUCUAAGGCAUUCAUUUAAUCUGCAGAUUAUUACUGAGCACUUACUGUGUCCUGUCUUUUGUGGAUUUUAAGAGGCUACACACUCAUUGGCCUGUGAUUCAGACUGACAUAUAAUGAUAUAAACCUCUCAGUCUGAUGUGGUAGCUGCAUUUGAAAAGUAUCUUAAGAAGUGCGGCACAUAUGUCUUCUUUGAGUUGUGUUUCUUCUGACUACAUUUUUUUACUAAAUUGCUUGUAUUUUUAAAAACCAGAUUUAUCACUAAAAGUAUGAAGGAUACUUAUAUAACCCCAGAAUAUCAACCUCUAUCUAGAUAAUAUGUGACUGUAUUCAGUUAUGACUGUGCUCACAAUUUAGUGUUUGAGAAAUGAAGCAGAUCUGUUUGCCCCAUAUAGAUAAAGACAUUCCUCUUCCUCUCAGUUUGAGCCAAACAGCACUUGGUUUAUGGCCUUGAUUUAAGGCAGAACAAAUAGCAGAGUAAGUUUAUGGCGAUGUUUCACCAUAACGAUGCAAAUCAAACGUAUCUAAGCUUUGCUACGGUAUUGUCUUUGAGAAAAAAAAAAAAAAAAAGGCGAAUCUUAGCUGAAGGAGAAAGUAUGUAGAAUCAUGGAAUGACAGCAGAGGGGACGGAAACUUAUGGCAAUAAGAAAAAAAUCAGGAAUGGAGCACAAGGUAGGAAAUCUAAAAAUGGUGAGUCAAGCACUGCUAUUCCAAAGCAGGCUUAACCAAAGCAGGCUGCUGUAACCUUGUCUUGCUUGCUAUUUUCCUUUCCAUAUUUUUCAUUAUCUGUGUUACUGAUUAUUUUUUUUUUCCCCCUGGCAAUUUAAUGCUGAAGUGGCACCCUGCAAAAUCUGACAAGCACCAUAGCUGUGCAGGGGAACCUGUAGGAAUGCAGAAACUGGUCACUGGUUGUGGAAAAAGGAAGGGCCUUGAAAGUGAGGAAGAGGAAUUCAGAACCACCAUCAAAGGAGGUGGUGAAGCCGGGGUGAAAGACACCGACAUCACUGCAGAGCAGAGAGGCUUUUAGAUGCUGGAUUUUACAUUGGGAAUACUGGGGAAGGUAAGGUCGGGCUAUUGCAAAUGGGAGGUGAAGUAGAGUGCACAAAAUAGAACAGAUUGAAAGAGUUUUUGAAUAUUGUAUAAAGGAACAAUUUUAAGAGAGUUACUGAAUGAGGAGAACAGGGAAAGAAGCCAGAUGUAGUUGAAGCUAACACAUAAGGCCACAAUUAGGGCAGGUAAAGUAGAGGCAGACAUAUUCACUAGGGAACAAUAUCAUCCUAAACCUCCAAAGCUGUUAAGAGUUCAUUGAUUGGAGCAUCAAUCUGGCAGUAGGACAAGCUGUCAAAACUAUCCAUUGUGGUUAAGGAAAAAAGCAUCAACAGCACAAAGGGAAGCAUCUGCCUUGUUUUGAUGUUUGUGUUCCUAUUUAUGUUUACUGUAAAGAUUGUCCCAAUGUCAUUCAGCAUAUUCUGUG